CUACCUGGCCUAGCGGCGGACGGGUGAUUAAUGCUUAGGAAUCUGCCUAUUAGUGGGGGACAACAUUCCGAAAGGAAUGCUAAUACCGCAUACGCCCUACGGGGGAAAGCAGGGGAUCUUCGGACCUUGCGCUAAUAGAUGAGCCUAAGUCAGAUUAGCUAGUUGGUGGGGUAAAGGCCUACCAAGGCGACGAUCUGUAGCGGGUCUGAGAGGAUGAUCCGCCACACUGGGACUGAGACACGGCCCAGACUCCUACGGGAGGCAGCAGUGGGGAAUAUUGGACAAUGGGCGAAAGCCUGAUCCAGCCAUGCCGCGUGUGUGAAGAAGGCCUUUUGGUUGUAAAGCACUUUAAGCGAGGAGGAGGCUACUUAGAUUAAUACUCUAGGAUAGUGGACGUUACUCGCAGAAUAAGCACCGGCUAACUCUGUGCCAGCAGCCGCGGUAAUACAGAGGGUGCGAGCGUUAAUCGGAUUUACUGGGCGUAAAGCGUGCGUAGGCGGCUUCUUAAGUCGGAUGUGAAAUCCCUGAGCUUAACUUAGGAAUUGCAUUCGAUACUGGGAAGCUAGAGUAUGGGAGAGGAUGGUAGAAUUCCAGGUGUAGCGGUGAAAUGCGUAGAGAUCUGGAGGAAUACCGAUGGCGAAGGCAGCCAUCUG
rnacentral:rRNA from 1 species